ACUCUCUUAGUAUAACNAUAGUACAGCUGACUUCCAAUCACCCAGUCUCAGAGUAAUCCUGAGAGAGAGUA
rnacentral:tRNA from 1 species